rnacentral:tRNA from 1 species
GUGGAUGUGGCUCAAAGGUAGAGCAUUUGCCUAACAUGCAUGAGGCACUGGGUUCGAUCCUCAGUGCCACA